UACGGAGGGGGCUAGCGUUGUUCGGAAUUACUGGGCGUAAAGCGCACGUAGGCGGCUUUGUAAGUUAGAGGUGAAAGCCCAGGGCUCAACCCUGGAAUUGCCUUUAAGACUGCAUCGCUAGAAUUGUGGAGAGGUAAGUGGAAUUCCGAGUGUAGAGGUGAAAUUCGUAGAUAUUCGGAAGAACACCAGUGGCGAAGGCGACUUACUGGACACAUAUUGACGCUGAGGUGCGAAAAGCGUGGGGGAGC
rnacentral:rRNA from 1 species